AUCACAACCUUUCAAUGUUCCUCCAAGUAAAUCUUUUUUAAAUUGAACAGCAGAAAGAUAUAUAGAUUCAUAAGUUUGUGAACUUCCUGGAAAUUAUAAGGGUUAUAUUAAAGAACUAUUGGACAAUGAGACUGUGGAUAAAAUCAACAUGUAAAUAAUCAAAUCCAAGUUUUUCCUAAUAUACUAUAUAUGAUUUUCAAAUUAUGCCUGGACAAUACUGGGCAUACUUUGUUAGUAAUUUCAUAUAGUUGCAAAACCAUUGAAAAAUGUAGCAAGUACAUUACAGAUAUUCAUAUUAUCAGUAUAUGCUAUAUGCCAGAUUCAGUACCAGUCCCUAGUGAAAACAGCAGUGAAUUUUGUUUUAAAAUCAAUGGUAUACACAAUAAAUUUGAUAUAUCUUAACACAGUAAGUGGGGGGGAAUUAAUUUAAGCAAAUUAUAGUGGAUGAUUGAUUGAUGAUAUAGUUUCUUUAUUAAAGUGAAAAUUGUCUUUGCAAAAUAAAAAAAAAGGUACACAGAUUUACG
rnacentral:lncRNA from 1 species